rnacentral:rRNA from 1 species
AGUGAACGCUGGCGGCAGGCCUAACACAUGCAAGUCGAACGGCAGCACAGUAAGAGCUUGCUCUUACGGGUGGCGAGUCGCGGACGGGUGACGUAUACAUCGGAACCUACUUUUUCAUGGGGGAUAACGAAGGGAAACUUACGCUAAUACCGCAUACGAUCUACGGGUGAAAGCAGGGGAUCUUCGGACCUUGCGCGAUUGAAUGAGCCGAUGUCGGAUUAGCUAGUUGGCGGGGUAAAGGCCCACCAAGGCGACGAUCCGUAGCUGGUCUGAGAGGAUGAUCAGCCACACUGGAACUGAGACACGGUCCAGACUCCUACGGGAGGCAGCAGUGGGGAAUAUUGGACAGUGGGCGCAAGCCUGAUCCAGCCAUACCGCGUGGGUGAAGAAGGCCUUCGGGUUGUAAAGCCCUUUUGUUGGGAAAGAAAAGCAGCAGGUUAAUACGCCGCUGUUCUGACGGUACCCGAAGAAUAAGCACCGGCUAACUUCGUG